rnacentral:rRNA from 1 species
GACAUACACGGAUUAGCUAUAAGAAACUAUAGUGACACCUUCGGGUGGAACGUGAACAGGUGCUGCAUGGCUGUCGUCAGCUCGUGCUGUGAAGUGUCGGGUUAAGUCCCUUAACGAGCGCAACCCUUAUCGUUAGUUGCUAACAGGUAAUGCUGAGGACUCUAGCGAGACUGCCGGUGUUAAACCGGAGGAAGGUGGGGAUGACGUCAAGUCCGCAUGGCCUUUAUGCCUAGGGCUGCACACGUGCUACAAUGGCAAGUACAGAACGAAGCAAUACCGCAAGGUGGAGCAAAUCGCUAAAGCUUGCCCCAGUUCGGAUUGCAGGCUGCAACUCGCCUGCAUGAAGUUGGAAUCGCUAGUAAUCGCGGAUCAGCACGCCGCGGUGAAUACGUUCCUGAGCCUUGUACACACCGCCCGUCAAGUCAUGGAAGCUGGUAGUGCGUUAAGUCGCCGAGAUUCAUCGGUGCCCACCGCAAGACUGGUGACUGGGACUAAGUCGUAACAAGGUAGCCGUAGGGGAACCUGCGGCUGGAUCACCUCCUUU